UGGGGAAUAUUGGGCAAUGGGGGAAACCCUGACCCAGCGACGCCGCGUGGAGGAAGGAGCCCUUCGGGGUGUAAACUCCUGUUGUAAGGGAAGAAGACAGUGACGGUACCUUACGAGGAAGCCCCGGCAAACUACGUGCCAGCAGCCGCGGUAACACGUAGGGGGCGAGCGUUGUCCGGAAUUACUGGGCGUAAAGCGCACGCAGGCGGAUGCGCGCGUCGGCUGUGAAAUGCACCGGCUCAACCGGUGCACUGCGGUCGAUACGGCGCAUCUGGAGUGCGGGAGAGGGAAGCGGAAUUCCCGGUGUAGCGGUGAAAUGCGUAGAUAUCGGGAGGAACGCCGGUGGCGAAGGCGGCUUCCUGGCCCGCAACUGACGCUCAUGUGCGAAAGCCAGGGGAGCGAACCGG
rnacentral:rRNA from 3 species